AGGUGGUGUGUUGUGUGGACCGUUGUGGCCACACCCAUGCCUGUGGAGUGUGUGGUGGUGGUGGUGGUGGUGUGUUUCUUUUGUCUUUUUCCUCUGCCAUUGUCUUCCCCCGACCUUGGCCUGACCUUCCAGCCUUUGGUCCUCGGCACAGCCAGGUGAAGCACGCCUUCAGUGGGAACCGGUCUCCCGAGGGUGUCACCAAGGCUCUCCAUCUCCAGCAGGACGUGGCGGGGGUCAAGAUGGCAGGCAAGCAACACUGCAGGCGUGGAGGUGUGAGAUGUGAGGCUGCAGGGGUGAGAAGUCCAUACAUGUUGCUGGCUAUGAGGACCCUAAAGGACUGGUGGUGUUGAGUGUGAGAGGAAGGACGUGGUGGUGAUGGUCAGCGUUCCAGUGUGUGCAGUGUGUGUCCUGUCAAAAUUGGCUUGCUGCUGCUGCACUGACAAAGGUGUUAGAUGUGCUGUUUCCAAAUCACCACCUUCCCAGGAACAGCCCAAAUGUUACACCAGCGGCCUCUGGUUAUCAAAUGGUGGUGCCACAUCAGGCCUGACGUUCUUCAUUGCAAUCAGGGAGUCAAGUUUCAUAAAGACAGUGUGAGUGUCAUGAGAAGUGUCAAGAUGCUCACCAGGAAGGAGAGUGCAGCAUGAAAAGGGCCUGGUAUUGUAACAGGUCUCCACUGCAAGUCAGGAAAAG